GAUGAACGCUGGCGGCGUGCCUAAUACAUGCAAGUCGAGCGAACGGACGAGAAGCUUGCUUCUCUGAUGUUAGCGGCGGACGGGUGAGUAACACGUGGAUAACCUACCUAUAAGACUGGGAUAACUUCGGGAAACCGGAGCUAAUACCGGAUGAUAUUUUGAACCGCAUGGUUCAAAAGUGAAAGACGGUCUUGCUGUCACUUAUAGAUGGAUCCGCGCUGCAUUAGCUAGUUGGUAAGGUAACGGCUUACCAAGGCAACGAUGCAUAGCCGACCUGAGAGGGGGAUCGGCCACACUGGAACUGAGACACGGUCCAGACUACUACGGGAGGCAGCAGUAGGGAAUCUUCCGCAAUGGGCGAAAGCCUGACGGAGCAACGCCGCGUGAGUGAUGAAGGUCUUCGGAUCGUAAAACUCUGUUAUUAGGGAAGAACAUAUGUGUAAGUAACUGUGCACAUCUUGACGGUACCUAAUCAGAAAGCCACGGCUAACUACGUG
rnacentral:rRNA from 1 species